UAGGGAAUCUUCCACAAUGGACGCAAGUCUGAUGGAGCAACGGCCGCGUGAGUGAAGAAGGUUUUCGGACCGUAAGCUCUGUUGUUGGUGAAGAAGGAUAGAGGUAGUAACUGGCCUUUAUUUGACGGUAAUCAACCAGAAAGUCACGGCUAACUACGUGCCAGCAGCCGCGGUAAUACUAGGUGGCAAGCGUUGUCCGGAUUUAUUGGGCGUAAAAGCGAGCGCA
rnacentral:rRNA from 1 species